AAGUAGAGCACAAACCAAUUGACGCUAUACAGCAACAAAAUUGAAGGCACAAAACUUAAACGUGAGAAAAAUUGAAUGCAUCUAAAGGAAAUCGAUAAAGUUAUCAGUAAAGCCACUGGCCAUUAACCGAGCGCGUCUGUAUUCGGAACGUUGAAACUUGGACUAUUUAGUCGAUCGGUAAUCGUAUAGAUGGAAAGACGAUCUUCAAUCAUCAUCAUUAGGUCAUCAAAUGAGGCAGGAGAAAGUUGGAGAAGGUGCAGGUGCUUCAGCGUAAACGUGAAACGCGGACGACUCGGCAAAAACUCUAAUGGAUCAAAACUCUAAUGAAUUCGUAAUAUGAAAACAAAAACCGAUAAUCGCCCGAAAGCUCGGAAAAUUGAUUGAUGAGGCCGGAAAUCCAGACGCAGACGCGGAGGCAAUUGGACAAGUACUAGCCAAGUCUAAAAAAGACGGACGUACGACGCAACGCAUAACAGAGUGACGUAGACGAUCAUCUAUAAGAACAAAUGGCUAGAAAUUGGAUCAGUCGACAAAGGGAACUGGCCGUCGAGUAGCUUGGUGAGAACAAAUAAAAAUUUUCUUCGUCUUACGGAGAAAGACUGCAUAAGCAUGCGCUUUUCACAAUGGCUCCCACUUUGUUUAUGGAGGUUUGCUGCCACUAAGAGAGUUCAGAAAAACCUGGAAAUCUCACCGUUUCCUCUCCCUUUGUGUGUAGCUUCGCUCACGAUUGGAGCGUUAUGAACAGUGUCGGAUAGGAAAAGCUUUUGCAAUUAAUAGAACCGUGUCUGAAUUUGGUAUCGUAAUUGUGCCAUAUGCUUAAAUGGCGCUUGUUUACUCUUCUUUAUUAGGCUCAUGUUAUCGCUUGUCUUUAUCAUGUUAUCGCUUGAUUUUAUAUGUACUUGAAACUCAUGUGAUAGAAAUAAUCUAAAACUACCUGUGCCUUCCUUCGAUCGCAGUAUAUACGCCAGCCAACUAUGGCAAAAGCUUUUCACCAGUAAAUUUGACAGUGGCCAUAUACAACAGACACUAAUACUCAAAUUGCCUUUGCGAGCAAUUCUACGGCUGUAUUCCAGCAAAAA